GGGUGCAGCAGGCGCGAAAACUUUGCAAUGCGGGAAACCGUGACAAGGGAACUCUGAGUGCCCGUUAAAUCGGGCUGUCCAUCGGUUUAAAUAACCGGUGAAGAAAGGGCCGGGCAAGACCGGUGCCAGCCGCCGCGGUAAUACCGGCGGCUCGAGUGGUGGCCACUAUUACUGGGCUUAAAGCGUUCGUAGCUGGUUUGUUAAGUCUCUGGGGAAAUCUUCCGGCUUAACCGGAAGGCGUCUCAGGGAUACUGGCAGACUAGGGACCGGGAGAGGUGAGAGGUACUCCAGGGGUAGGAGUGAAAUCCUGUAAUCCUUGGGGGACCACCUGUGGCGAAGGCGUCUCACCAGAACGGCUCCGACAGUGAGGGACGAAAGCUGGGGGAGCAAACCGGAUUAGAUACCCGGGUAGUCCCAGCUGUAAACGAUGCGCGUUAGGUGUAUCGGUGACCACGAGUCACCGAGGUGCCGAAGAGAAAUCGUGAAACGUGCCGCCUGGGAAGUACGGUCGCAAGGCUGAAACUUAAAGGAAUUGGCGGGGGAGCACAAGGGCGAAUUCGCG
rnacentral:rRNA from 1 species